rnacentral:rRNA from 1 species
UACGGAGGGUGCAAGCGUUAAUCGGAAUUACUGGGCGUAAAGCGCACGCAGGUGGCUGAGUCAGUCGAUUGUGAAAGCCCUGGGCUUAACCUGGGAAUUGCAGUCGAUACUACUCAGCUAGAGUAUGGGAGAGGGUAGUGGAAUUCCCGGUGUAGCGGUGAAAUGCGCAGAUAUCGGGAGGAACACCUAUGGCGAAGGCAGCUCGCUGGGACGUUACUGACGCUGAGACGCGAAAGCGUGGGGAGCAAACAGG